rnacentral:lncRNA from 1 species
AUUUCUCACGUCUUCUCGGCUGAAAUCAGCUCAACCUGCCAUCUUUGGACUUCAGUAUAAAUGUGAAUUCUCCACUUUCUCUGGCCCACAACAUCUUACUCGGCUUGUCUAAAGACCAUAUUUCAUUAAUGUUCAGAAACGUUUACCUCCUUACAUGAAACCCAUUUCGAAGUUGGGCACUCGUUAUGAUUUCCAGAUUCGCAUAUUUUCGGACGGACAAUAGUAACUUUGUUGAUUCCUUCUUCAAUUAUAUUUCCGAGAGGUCUAGGAUUUGAAUUAGCUCCCAAGCUUCACCCUUUUGAGUCCUAAAUACUCUCGAGUCUCCAUUUCAUAUCUUAGCCAAAUCUAUCCAAAUUUGAAACUCCAGUUUGCAAAUUUGCUCAAAUUUGACUUUGGCUCAAAUUACCCCCCCUCUAAUCCAACUUCACCAUUAGCUUCUUAAUGUUAUUCUUAAGCUAUCAUUAACACGGGGUGUUACACGCCCUGCCCCCGGUGUGGCCGCCGCCACCGGACGUCCCCUCGCCCCUCUCGGCCGGCGCCCCUAAUUCUUCAAUCUUUGUUGUUCAAGUUAGAAAAUUGAAAUUAGAAAUUAGAAAAGGGUAGAGAGGUGGUAGGAUGAAUUAGAAAUUAGAAAUUAGAAAAGGAUAGGAAAGGAUUUUUUUUACAGAAGAUAGAGAGGUGGUAGGAAUUUUUUUAGAAAUUAGAAAAGGAUGUUUGACUUGGCAAUCUAAGGUAUAAGAACUAUAUGUGGAUGUCGGCCGUCGUGCCGUUCCGUUGCUGUGGAUGUGGUUGUCAGCCAUCGUGCCGUUUUGUUUGAUGCAGGUUAUGGAAACCUCCCCGUGCAGGGGAGGUGCUGUCGAAAUUUUAACUUGACAGUAGUAUGUUCCUUUCUUUGCAGGAGAGACUACGUUACCAUCCUCGAGUCAUCACUUUGCAGGAUAGCAAGGUGAGGCAUCCUAUACCUCUCUUUUCGUAUGAUGUUUGUAUAUCACGUAACCUAAUUAGGCGUCUC